GGAGUUGUGGCUCAGUGGUAGAGUGCUCGUCUAGCACACAUGAGGCACUGGGUUUGAUCCUCAGCACCA
rnacentral:tRNA from 1 species